rnacentral:lncRNA from 1 species
UUUGUUGUAUUUUCAGUUGGUGGGGAAGGGGAGAUUCUUCCUUAGCCAGUGGCAGUCUGGGGCGAAGGAACGGCUCCAGACAGGCUGUUCAUGCCUCAGUGUAGCUUCAGUAACCAGUGCAUUUCGGGUAAAGUAGGCAGUGGUGCAGGGCAGUCGCAGGGCACCCUGGGAAAGCAGUCCUGCUGUACUCAGCACUGAAGGAAUCCUGGUGAAGGGGGCUGCACUGGACUUUGUGAGCCCUGCAGAGAUGCCAGAGGACAGCACAGGGUCACUUGUAGUCCUUUCUUUGGACAGUGUUCCAGCACGUCCAAAGCUAUGGAUAAAUACAUCACCAAGAUGCUUUUCUGACAGGUAGACCAGAACUCGUUCCCCAGUACUCGUCUCUUCCUCGUUAGGCUGGGCCAGGCUGUGUGGUCUAACCACUUAACAAGUGGUCUCCCGUGUCACUUUGUCUCUUUGUGCAAGCGUUGUUUUAUAUGUUGCAUCUAUUGGCCCUCCUUCCAUGGGGUGUCUGUUCAUAUCUUUACCUUCUCUUACAGUUCUCAGACAGCUUGCUUCCCAUUUUGUUCUGUAAGAGCACUUUAUAGAUUGAGACAUAGAUCUUUGUUUAUAUUCCAGACACUUCUUUCUCUGUGCUUUUUCCUGUCUUUGGAAUGUACCUCUAGAGGAUUGGUCUUUAUGACUCCCUCCCCUGCUUGUCUGCUC